rnacentral:rRNA from 1 species
UACAGAGGGUGCAAGCGUUAAUCGGAAUUACUGGGCGUAAAGCGUGCGUAGACGGUUACAUAAGUCGGGUGUGAAAGCCCCGGGCUCAACCUGGGAAUUGCAUUCGAGACUGCGUAGCUAGGGUGCGGAAGAGGGAAGCGGAAUUUCCGGUGUAGCGGUGAAAUGCGUAGAGAUGUGGAGGAACACCAGUGGCGAAGGCGACUCUUUGGCCUGUAACUGACGCUGAGGCGCGAAAGCGUGGGGAGCGAACAGG